GGAUGAACGCUGGCGGCGUGCCUAAUACAUGCAAGUCGAACGCUUUGUGGUUCAACUGAUUUGAAGAGCUUGCUCAGAUAUGACGAUGGACAUUGCAAAGAGUGGCGAACGGGUGAGUAACACGUGGGAAACCUACCUCUUAGCAGGGGAUAACAUUUGGAAACAGAUGCUAAUACCGUAUAACAAUGACAACCGCAUGGUUGUUAUUUAAAAGAUGGUUCUGCUAUCACUAAGAGAUGGUCCCGCGGUGCAUUAGCUAGUUGGUAAGGUAAUGGCUUACCAAGGCGAUGAUGCAUAGCCGAGUUGAGAGACUGAUCGGCCACAAUGGGACUGAGACACGGCCCAUACUCCUACGGGAGGCAGCAGUAGGGAAUCUUCCACAAUGGGCGAAAGCCUGAUGGAGCAACGCCGCGUGUGUGAUGAAGGGUUUCGGCUCGUAAAACACUGUUGUAAGAGAAGAAUGACAUUGAGAGUAACUGUUCAAUGUGUGACGGUAUCUUACCAGAAAGGAACGGCUAAAUACGUGCCAGCAGCCGCGGUAAUACGUAUGUUCCAAGCGUUAUCCGGAUUUAUUGGGCGUAAAGCGAGCGCAGACGGUUAUUUAAGUCUGAAGUGAAAGCCCUCAGCUCAACUGAGGAAUUGCUUUGGAAACUGGAUGACUUGAGUGCAGUAGAGGAAAGUGGAACUCCAUGUGUAGCGGUGAAAUGCGUAGAUAUGUGGAAGAACACCAGUGGCGAAGGCGGCUUUCUGGACUGUAACUGACGUUGAGGCUCGAAAGUGUGGGUAGCAAACAGGAUUAGAUACCCUGGUAGUCCACACCGUAAACGAUGAGUGCUAGGUGUUUGAGGGUUUCCGCCCUUAAGUGCCGCAGCUAACGCAUUAAGCACUCCGCCUGGGGAGUACGACCGCAAGGUUGAAACUCAAAGGAAUUGACGGGGACCCGCACAAGCGGUGGAGCAUGUGGUUUAAUUCGAAGCAACGCGAAGAACCUUACCAGGUCUUGACAUCCCUUGACAACUCCAGAGAUGGAGCGUUCCCUUCGGGGACAAGGUGACAGGUGGUGCAUGGUUGUCGUCAGCUCGUGUCGUGAGAUGUUGGGUUAAGUCCCGCAACGAGCGCAACCCUUAUUACUAGUUGCCAGCAUUUAGUUGGGCACUCUAGUGAGACUGCCGGUGACAAACCGGAGGAAGGUGGGGAUGACGUCAAAUCAUCAUGCCCCUUAUGACCUGGGCUACACACGUGCUACAAUGGCGUAUACAACGAGUUGCCAACCCGCGAGGGUGAGCUAAUCUCUUAAAGUACGUCUCAGUUCGGAUUGUAGGCUGCAACUCGCCUACAUGAAGUCGGAAUCGCUAGUAAUCGCGGAUCAGCACGCCGCGGUGAAUACGUUCCCGGGUCUUGUACUCACCGC
rnacentral:rRNA from 1 species